rnacentral:tRNA from 3 species
GGGCCUGUAGCUCAGCUGGGAGAGCGUUCGGUUCGCAUCCGAGAGGUCGAGAGUUCGAAUCUCUUCAGGUCCACCA